rnacentral:rRNA from 1 species
UCCAGACUCCUACGGGAGGCAGCAGUGGGGAAUAUUGCACAAUGGGGGGAACCCUGAUGCAGCGACGCCGCGUGAGUGAAGAAGUAUUUCGGUAUGUAAAGCUCUAUCAGCAGGGAAGAAAAUGACGGUACCUGACUAAGAAGCUCCGGCUAAAUACGUGCCAGCAGCCGCGGUAAUACGUAUGGAGCAAGCGUUAUCCGGAAUUACUGGGUGUAAAGGGAGCGUAGACGGAUGUGCAAGUCUGAUGUGAAAGGCGGGGGCUCAACCCCUGGACUGCAUUGGAAACUGUAAAUCUUGAGUGCCGGAGAGGUAAGCGGAAUUCCUAGUGUAGCGGUGAAAUGCGUAGAUAUUAGGAGGAACACCAGUGGCGAAGGCGGCUUACUGGACGGUAACUGACGUUGAGGCUCGAAAGCGUGGGGAGCAAACAGGAUUAGAUACCCCGGUA